GGCGGGGUAGCUCAGAUGGUGAGAGCGACGGAUUCAUAACCCGUAGGUCGGCGGUUCGAUCCCGCCCCCCGCUACAA
rnacentral:tRNA from 2 species